rnacentral:tRNA from 1 species
AAAAAUUUAGUUAAGUAUUAACAUUAGUUUGUCAAACUAAAAUCAUUUUUAAUAAAAAUAAUUUUUA